GCUUUGUUGACCUGAAGCAAUGAGCCUUGUGUACUGGAGAAGAAAUCUUACCUGGAGAGAUCUGAUAGUCUCUGUUCCACCACAUUUUCUCUAGGACCGUUGGGCAACAGGGUGAGCAGUUUGUCAGCCUGGGGACAUUGGUCUGGUUGGGACAAGGAAGAAACUGGUGCUGUGGCCCUUACUCAUUGACCCAAAAGCCUGCAAAACUUGAGCCUAGUUAUAUCACCAGCAAGCUGAACUGACGUCCAGAAUCAAGAGCUGAACUCUCCUUGACACUACAGAAGAUAUCAGUUCUACAAUAAGGAGCUGGCUGUCCUGGUGCUGAAAGUGCUCGGCCUCCACUGGAACAUCCACCAGGGAAUUUGGCUCAAGAGAAAUUGUAGCACAUGAAGAUUUCCGAGCAAUCCUUUCUCACUGCUCUGUUGGAAUGGCUCAUCCAUUGAAGACAACUGUGAGCCCAGAUAUCAAUAAGACCCCUUUUUGUUUUAACCACUGACUACGCACAAACUCCGUACCUCAUCCACAACCUCACCAUCAGAGAAAUAAAAGGAAUAGUGAGUAGAGACUUCAUCCGCUCGGUUCUUUGUUCUGGGCUCAUCUCCAUGUCUUGUAUCCAACAGAUGUUUUCAGACAUGGUAUUGCAAGACGUGAUGCAGAGUUUAUAUCCUCGGCAGACAGGCCAGUUAUUGUUCUCAUAGCAGCAGAUGUCUGAAUCAGCUCAAGCAAGUGAGUUCCUGGGUGACUGCACCUUUCAUUUCUGCUCACCUGUCUUCUGCUUUUCCUCCCAUCUGCACAUCAGCUUGGAAUUAUCUUAAGAUGAAGACCGCCCUCAGCAGGAGCCUGUACAAAGCUCAGCCUAUUUAUAGGCACAUCUCUGCUUGGGACUAUCCUGUGCUACUGUGACACACACAGUAAGCUCUUUAUUAAUAAGUAGAUAAGAAGCUCCUUAGGUCUUAGGUCACUUGUACUGCAUCCCAGUUCGGGAAUUAUCCCACAGGUGAGCUCCCUUUCCAAUCACAUAUGUUCCCACCAGCAACUCCCGCAGUCACUUACACAUGAAAAUAAUAUUAGGAAAACAUUUACUGUAAGCUUUAGCUUAAUUUAGUAGAAUUUAGCAGCUGGAAAUUACAAGGAGGAGCCAGCACCUUGCAAAGAGCCAGCACUCUGCAGACCACCAGCAAGUGCUCCACAGACCUCAGCCUGGAAAGUGAUGAGACAGAUGGAAGUCAUUAUUUUGUUUUGAACAAAAUACCAUCUGGGGCCAACAUUUGCUGUCUGUUACUUCUGAGUGAAUCCAGAGAAACUCCAUCAUGUUCCUUAAUAAUCAGUUCUGGGACCAAUCUUAUUAAAUAUUUUCCUUAAUGAACUUGGCAGAAAAAAGGCAGGCGCCUGGUCAUGAGAUCUGCUGAUGACACAAACUUGAGUGACUGCAUUGCUAUUGCGGAGAAGGAUACAAAUGUGAUAUGGGAAGAGCUGUGGAUGACCUUUAAGGAAAGCCGAGUGAGAGAAGUGGGUGUGCUUUGCCAGUAACAAAGAGUAGGAGACUAGACUUAGAGAUUGAGGUAGAAAAAAAUGACCUGAAAUAGUCUAUUUCAUAGAAUCAUGGAAUGGCGUAGGUUGGAGGGGACCUUAAAGAUCAUCAAGGUCCAACCCCCCUGCCAUGGGUUGGUUGCUACCCACCAGAUCAGGCUGCCCAGGGCCCCAUCCAACCAGCCUUGAGCACCUUCAGGGAUGGGGGACCCACAGCUUGCCUAUUUGAACACAGUGUCCUUGAAAAGAACAACUGCAGUUGUACUGUAUCUCAGGUGAGAUGUUUCCACUUGAGACAGGGAAGUGUUAAAUACCAUUGCACAGAGAGUAGCUGGGACAUCAUCUGAAUAACUAUGAAGUUCUGGUCACCCAGAUUCAAGAAAGAUUAACUGAAAGUUGAAGAGGUGCAUCUCUAGAAAGGCAGCUAAAGUGCCUGUUUUGUUCAGAGGAGGAAAACAAGCAGAUCCAUAGGCUGCAUCUGUACUAAUUUACUGAAAUUACCUAGAUGGUUCUCUGACAGUGGGGUCCACCAGGAAGGAAUUGGUCAGCCUGGUCUGGUGGUUGGCAACCCUGCACAUAGCAGGGGGGUUGAAACUGGAUGAGCAUUGUGGUGCUUUUCAAUCCAGGCCAUUCUGUGAUCCUAUGAUUCCAUGAUUUUAUGAUCCUAUGAUCCUAUGAUUCCAUGAUUCCAUGAUUCUAUGAUCCUAUGAUUCUAUGCCCUUCCAUUACAGGGCUUUGUGCAUCUUUGCCUUCAACAUGGUGACAUUCUCCCAGUAUUCCAGCGUGGACUAUUUUUAUGCUCUGCGUUACGUUGAUGUGACUGUAGAGAACUGUGUUCUCAAAGAACUCUGGGUUUAUACUGAGCUCAGAAGUCCUAUCUGAAAACUGGUUUUUUAGCUAGCAGGUAUGAUGCCAGUCUUCAUUUGAGGACUUCCGUCCAUGCCUUUUUCAUUGGUCUUUUCUUCUACACACAUGUUGGAAGCACAAAUCAUUUUUGAAGGGUGUGAAAUGCAGCAGCUUUACACUGUUCAGAAGCAAUACUUUGGUUUUACUGCAAACUUUAAUGUAGAUGGCUUGGAGCAACUAUUAGAGUUACAAGCAGAAUAAAUCAACCAGCCAAGUGUCUCUGGUUGCCCAAAUCUCAGAUUUCACAGCAAAAAAAAGCCAAUGUGUGGUGCCACAUGAGAGUGGGAUCCCCUACCUAAGGAAAGUGAUGUAAUCUGUGGAGCUACAAUAGCAAUAAUCUUCUUCGUCAUCCUGUUUCUGUGAGCACUAGCAAUGAAGCAUUAUUAUUUUUCACAACACACUGACUUUUACCAAAGAGUGGGAAUUUCUUCAUUAAUACUGGGGAUACUCCAUUGAUUUUAGAGAAGAGACUCUUUAUACCUAUACAGAACGCGAGCCAGAAAUUAAAAUUAUAGUAAUUAACUCCAAAACAUAUUUUCCUGCUUAGAAAUCCCAUUCAAGUGCAUAAAUAUCCUUUGAGAAUUACAACACUUGCACACUGCAUAUCUGCACAUCACAGAUGGUGUAUUCCUCCAAUGCAUGGCUCUACUCCUGCUACAGAUGAGCACAGUCUGAGCAGCCAGCCGGGUGGAUGGCCAGAGGAGGAGUGUUAUUUGGUGCAUCCAUGGAGCUCAACCAGCUGUCUGCCCCAAUGGUGAAAAACAUCUCUUCCCUUUGCGACUUCUGGCAUGGAUCAGAGAGCCACUAGAACCGGAAAGAUACUGAAUUUCAGCUGGGACACACACAAGCUGCUAAUUGCAUCUCCGCUUCCUACUGCUGGUUGUGCAGGGUAUGGGGUUAAUUCACAGCACAGAGGGAUGAGACAGAGCAAGACUUCCAUGAGAGAUGAUCUUCUAAAUCAUGACCAACUGCUCUGCAACAGUGAUUAAGGGCCCCAGGAAGAACCAGAGAGCCACUGCAGUAGGUACUGUAUGGACACACACAUUAUUUCUCCCCCCUGCACAUAAAUUUUAUAUAGCUGUGGGGCAGCAGACAUAACACACAUGUACACAGAUAUCUGUGUAUCCUAAGAUCACCCUGGUUGCUUUUCUCAGAGCUAUUCAGCCUCAGUUGCACUCAUUUUGACUUCAGUCAAGCUCUGAUGAUGUACACAUUAAAAGUCCUUAUUGGACUACGGGAAGAAGGAGCAUUACCUACCACACUGCUCUACAAGUUGCACAGCACGACUGUCCUUCUUCUGUAGCAGUGAUUCCUCCUCAUUUCAGCCUCACAGCAUCAGGCAAGCCCUAAGCUUGAUCCAAUAUACUGAUUUCUUUUUUUCAAGUGUUCCCAGUUUAUAAUUGGGGGAGGGAGAGAAAAGAAGCAAUGAUGAUUAUCAUAUGCACCGUGUGCCUCAGCACAGGGAACAGCUGGAAUGGUGUGUGCAGUGGUACAACUUCUCAAUGCAACAUGUGCUUUGUCUGCCUCUUUCUGUACAAGUUUCUUUCUUCUGUUCACUUCUCCCUGCUUUGAUGAUUUUGUUUUCUUGUUUUCUUGCCAAUAUUGCUUGAGAUGUACGGUUUCCAGCUCUACUGCUCCUGGGCAGCCCUGCCUCCUGGGCAGCUCAGCAUUAUCAGUGUCUGGGUAAUGAAGAAAUUUUGCUUUGAGGUUAUGUGGCCAUAUGGGCUGCCUGAAGACAAGAAGCUUUAUUUCCAGCUCCAGAGCUGAUUCACAGCAUGACUUCUGUGUGGCCAAGGGUGCCACAGAUAAAUUUAGCUCUCUUCUGCAUGUCAAGGUUUCUAGUUCCUCCAGGCUUCAGAAACUGAGUAAAUGAGACUCUGGAAGAGCUGAUGGUCUACUGAAGGAUGAUGACACGAGUCUUAGGUUUGCAGAUGCACAAAAGGAGGGAUGAAAAUUCUAUGUUGUGUAUCUGGAGUUCCCAGGGCUUGGCUUGGGCCAGUCUUAGAAUCACAGAACAGUGGAACCAUUACAGUUGGAAACGACCACUAAGAUCAUCUAGUCCAACCAUCAACCCACCAUUGCCACAAGUCUUUCUAGACUCUUGGAUUUCCUGCAGUGAAAUAAAAGUACUGCAGCUUCUGCACUUCGAUUUUGUAGACAAUCAACUGCCAUGAGACUUCCCAAGCUGCUCUGUCCAUCUUUUCACUUUUGGGAAGCCCACAGGUCCCACUGGGUGAAAGCAAUACUGAUCCUGGGGCCAUCUGCGUGGCUGGGUUGCUCACAUCUCUGGGAUGUGAAAGCUGCAAGAGCUCCUGGUAGCUCAGAGCCUUUCCAAAACACCUAUGAGUGGGAAUGACACAAUGAUCUUUGGGUGAGGUGCCUUCAAGGCUACUUUGUAUGACAAAGAGGAAGGCUCAACGUGUACAUAACGCCCACUAAUAGCAAAUCCUUCUCAUGGUGUGCCUAACAACCUCUCCGAGAACAAGCUUUGUGUGUCUCAUUUCCCGGGUCACCAUUCUUUGAAUUUCACCUUCACCACAAGAAAACCUAAGCGAGAAUUUGUGGUUAUCAUUCACCAGAGUUGGGACAACACAGAAAGUCUCGGUACCUCCAUUCUACCUUGCGAAAUCUGUCUUCAUAUUUGGCUGCCCCAGCAAUGGAACACGAAGGCCAGUGCCAAGAGAAUACAUCAUUCCCACAACACGUGGCUGCCAACGAGCCUGCAAGGCUGAGCUGAAGAGUUCAAAGCUUUAAGCUUGGACCAAGACGCCGUGCUGAGGUCGUGCAGUGCUGGCAGGAUGGCUAGGGAUGCAGUAACAAGGAAUCGUGACGUGAGCCAUCAUCGAGUGCUCUCCAGACGGUCACGGAGAUGCAGAUUUACCUCCUCCGUACCAAGGAUCAUUAUUUCUGCGUGGUAUUUUUAGACUGUAAGCACCCAGGAGAUUGUUAGAAGCAGGUAGGCUGUUCUGCAUUCCUACAGUCCCACAGAGGUUAGGCUGAGGAAGGAGUUUGUGGGGCAAGACUGAGUCAUCUGGAUAGAGUGCAGAAGGUUUGCUUUGCACCUACACAGGACAUUGCCUUUUUUUUUCUGUGUUCUUCAAUCUCCUGUGCUUUUUUAACAGUCUUUAUAAAAGAUCAAUGUAAAUGGAUAGAUAAAUAAAACUACCCUAUCCAUAUCAUUAGGGUCCAGGUUUAGACAUCAGCAGUGUCAGUAGCAGCACCUCAGCACCAGUCUGGAAAAGCUUUCCUUGUCCUAUGAGAUUCAUCCUCCUGCUGUAUAUUACCCAGCAUAUGUUCCAGCAGCUCUUCAGAAACAGGUUCAGGCUUUCUGGUGCAAGGGCCCCUAUCCAAACCAAAUAUACUGAGUGCAAGAGGCAAGCAGAUGAGUGCUAGAGGGCUAUGGUCUUUCCCACAUGUUCACUUGGACAGUUUAGACACACUUCUAAAAAACCACAGUCCC
ensembl:lncRNA